CCUACGGGCGGCAGCAGUGGGGAAUAUUGGGCAAUGGGCGCAAGCCUGACCCAGCAACGCCGCGUGCAGGAAGAAGGCUCUCGGGUUGUAAACCUCUUUUAACAGGGACGAAGAAAGUGACGGUACCUGCUGAAUAAGCCACGGCUAACUACGUGCCAGCAGCCGCGGUAAUACGUAGGUCGCAAGCGUUAUCCGGAUUUACUGGGUGUAAAGGGAGUGUAGGCGGGGGAGCAAGUCAGACGUGAAAUUCCGGGGCUCAACCCUAGAACUGCGUUUGAAACUGUUGUGCUUGAGUGAAGGGGAGGCAGGCGGAAUGCCGGGUGUAGCGGUGAAAUGCGUAGAGAUACGGAGGAACACCAGUGGCGAAGGCGGCUUACUGGACUUUAACUGACGCUGAGGCGCGAAAGCGUGGGGAGCAAACAGGAUUAGAUACCCGGGUAGUC
rnacentral:rRNA from 1 species